rnacentral:lncRNA from 1 species
AGGAAUGACCGCGAGAGUGGCUGCUUUCAUAGCUCCGCUUGCGAAACUCCUGCCCGGCCUUUGACACCGCCACGGCUUUCAGUAAUCUGGAAAAUCCCUAGUUUCCAAAAAUAGUCUUAGGGCGAGGACUUGACAGAGGUAAUUUGAUUAUGCCUGGGAGUCUCUAUUCAUACAUGGUUACCUACCGCGGGUAGGGUGAGGUCAACCUCGUGUUUUUUGUUUUUUUUCCUGUGAUAUUAGCUAGCAAUUUCCAGCGUUUCCUGAACCUUGAAGUAAAAACAAUGAUACUGAUCUAAACUACUAGAAUCUAGGUUGGAAGGAAAGGAAUGCAUCACGUUUUACUCUUGACGCUCAGAAAGCGAUACCCCAAAGACAGAGGCUUUAGAAGCUGCCUCAUAAUGCAGGUCCCCCAACCUUGACUUGUUGCUCCCACUUUUCCCAAGUGCAGGGAGGUACUCUCUGAAAUUUCCUUUCCUGACUAGAGAAGCCUCUUUGUAGAAGAAUCAAUCGCAUUCCUCCCCUCGCUGAAAUCUCGUAUCCUAUUUCAAAAAGACUCAGAAAUGCAGCCAUUCCUGGAGGGACUUUUUCACAAGAUUACUCAAAAGAAAAUUAUUUACUAAUUUCUGUCCAUUCAUUGUUCCUAAUAAUCAUUUGCUGCUCCUCAAAAUAAAUGUCUACAUUUCUCAUCUACCCUUUCCCCUAUGAAAAAAAGAUAUAAAAUCUUCUGUACUCCAUUAAGCUACUGGGUAAUCAUCCUCCUGCUUUUACCCCGGUGUUAUGUAUCCCUUUUCUCCUGUUAAUCGCCUGUUAUCAGUUGAUUUUUUUUUUCUUUUUUUUUAGAUAGAGUCUCACUCUGUCGCCCAAGCUGAAGUGCAGUGGCGCGAUCUCGGCUCACUGCAGCCUCCGCCUCCGGGGUUCAAGCGAUUCUCCCACCUCAGCCUCCCCAGUAGCUGGGAUUACAGGCACACACCACCACGUCCAGCUAAUUUUUGUAUUUUUGUAGAGACGGGGUUUUGCCAUGUUGGCUAGGCUGGUCUUGAACUCCUGACCUCAGGUGAUCCGCCCGCCUCGGCCUCCCAAAAUGCUGGGAUUACAGGCAUCCAAAGCGCUGGAAUUACAGGCAUGAGCCACCGCACCCGGCCUUAUCAGUUGAUUAAGUGAACCUUCAGUGGGCAAAGUUGUUUUAAAAUGUACUGAUACUUGAGCCUUGCCUGCAGAGGUUGAUGUCACUGAUUUAAGGUGGGCCCAGCCAGUGGUUCAGUUUUGCCUGUCUUCGAGUGAUUGGAAUGUACAGCCAAGAGAGUGUAAUUAUGGUGCUGGCAGAAGUAUUAACCUAUCUGGAUGUCACUGUCUUCACUUUCUGACUAGGCUGCUUCCAGGGAAUCUUUCCACCUCAAUAUUUAUGAGAUAUCUAUAAUUUUAUAACAAACUUUUAAAGGAGCCUCGGUUUCCUUAAACACAAUUGAUGACACCAGUUUUCUGGUUUUCUUCCAUUUUUGUUUAUAGAGCCAGGGUCUCACUGUGUUGCCCAGGCUGGCCUUGAACUCCUGAACUCAAGGGAUCUUCCCACCUCAGCCACCUGAGUAGCUGGGACUAUAAGUGGCACACCACUGUGCCUGGUCAGUUUUCUGGUUUUGAUAAUCUAUGGUUGUGUGAGAUAUUAUCAUUGGGGAAAGUUGGAGGAAUACAUAGGAGUAGUCUAUCUUUGCAACUUCCAUGUCUUAUUUCCAAAUAAAAAGUAAAAACCCUCAUUGAUUAUGUACUUCAUUAAAACACUGGACUUCAAUGAAAUCAUCACCUAUAUUUGUAAUGACUUGAGAGUAAUAUAAUUUAACUUUUUUUUUGACUUCUGAACUUUUUAUUGGCCUCCUGCUCCCCAAAGGGUACCCUGCUUCUGAUGGCUUAAUGUCUCAGAACUUGGGUGUCGUUGGUCUCAGAUACCACUUUGCCAUCCACUAUCCAGCAGAUAGUGGUCUUUUGGAUGGUUUGCAUGGAGUUGCUGCUGUCCAGGGCAUCACCAAGAUUGAAGUCCUUGCCAUCUUCCAGCAGGCGGCGGUAGGUGGCGAUCUCAGCCUCUAGCUUGACCCUGAUGUUCAGCAGGGCCUCGUACUCCUGGGCCUGGCACUGUCCCUCUGCCCAGGCCUGUGCCAGCUCUGACUCCAGGUGCAGCAGGAUCCCGUUGAGCUGCUCCAUCUGCAGGGCGUGGCAGGCCUCCACCUCCCUCAGGCUGUUCUCCAAGCUGGCCUUCAGAUUUCUCAUGGAGUCCAGGUUGAUCUCCAAGGACUGGACUGUAUGUCUCAGCUCCGUGAGCGUUAUAGCAGCUCCAACCUCGACGGACUGCGUGGUGACCCCUGUGUUGCUCUCCUCAAUCUGUUAAGACCAGUACUUGUCCAGCACCUAUUGGUUCUUCAUGCCAGCUCAUCAUAUUGGGCCCGGAUGUCUGCCAUUAUCUUGGUGAGGUCCUGAGAUUUGGGGACAUCUACCUCCACAGUCAACCCAGAGCUGGCAGUCUGGGCUUGUAGGCCUUUUACUUCCUCUUCGUGGUUCUUCUUCAUGAAGAGCAGCUCCUCCUUGAGAGCCUCAAUCUAUCUCCAGCUGCAGCCGAGUGACAUUAGUGUCAUGGAUUUUGUUCCCAUGGAUGUUGUUCUUCAGAGGCUGGCACGUGGCCAGCUCUGUCUCAUACUUGACUCUAAAGUCAUCAGCAGCAAGAUGGGCAUUGUCAGUCUGCAGAACGCAUUGUCCACAAUAUUUGUGAAGAUCUGAGCCCUCAGGUCCUCAAUGGUCUUGAAAUAAUGGCUCCAGUCUCUGACCUGGGGUCCCUGCUUCUCCAGGUGCUCCCGGAUUUUGCUCUCUAGCCUCCGGUUCUCGGUCUCCAGGCUCCUCACUCUGUCCAGAUGUGGGCCACCAGCCUUAAGCCAGAGGGAGCUUUGUAAGACAGGAACAUAUAAAAUGAUAAAAGCUUCUCUACGUACAGUUUUCCUGACUCUGAUUCUGCGUGGGACAACCAGUGAAAAUUGCAGGUGAAGAGAAGAAAUGCGUAUUUAUUCCUCCACUGGGAAAAAAAAUACCAUCCAAAGCUACAUGACUUGAGAGACAAGGUCUCACUAUGUUGCCCAGGCUGGCCUCGAACUCCCGGGCUUCAGCAGUCCUCCCGCCUCACCCUCCGAUGUAGCUAGGACUACAGGACCGCGACCCGGCGCUGCCUAAGAACUGUUUUUAAACGUGAAAGCCACGGCUAUCAUUUGCUUUUUGCUCUGCUCUUCAUCUUCUGGAUAAACCUCGUAACACACUGCUUGUUUUGGGUGGUAGUCUGCUGCCUACGCCCCGUCAGACAAGUGGCCUGAGUCCCCCGCAACCCCUGCAGGUCCGGCCGCCGGCGCCAAGCCUCAAGGCAUCCAAGCCAGGAACGAUCGCGGUCAGCUCUGCCACGGAACAUGUGCAAGACCCGGCAGCAGGUUCCGGGGGAGGCGAAUUGAUUUCACAACGGUCGAGAAGGAGGACCCCGCCCACUUCGUCAUUUCUCGGAAGCCCAGGGACUCGCCGGAAGAGCGGCUCAAAAGCCGGAAAACUGGCAAAUCCGAGUCUCCCGGCGCAUGCGCGGCGCAAUCGGCUUCGCGUGGUUGCAGUAGAGAGGAUCCCUCCGCCAGCCACUGCAUCCGGCGGCCGGAUCUAACUUACCCGCUAGCGUUUUACCCUUGCGCGGCCGUGGCGUAGGGCGGUCUUUUCCCUUGGUCCUCCGCGGCGCCGCCUCUUGUGACGUAAGCCGCAGAAUCCUCUGUCUUAGUUCGGCUCUAUUGCCGCGAGCUUGACUCUUCCUGGGUCUGAGGAAAAGUAAAAGUAAUUUUGUCAUUUCCUGAAACUUCAAGUUAAACCUUUAAGCUGUUCAUUUCCUAAAAGGGUGAAAACGCGGGCACCCCUCGAGCUAGUUCAUCGCCUUUUAACCUGUGAGUUCUGUUAAAAGGAAGUAACUGCAAAAUGUCUUCGCUGUUAGGUUUCUUUGGAAGUUUUGGGUUGUGUUCAUGCGUUCUCUCGGCGUGUGAACUGGGAGAAAGUGGAGUGCCAGCCAUAUGAAAUGACAACUGUAUAUGGAGGCUGGGAAGUAUAAUGCGCAUUCUGGCUUGAUGAAAUUAAUGAAAUUUUAAUUAAGUUUAAUUUUCAUUUGAAUUACCCAGGAAUAGCAUCUUGAAAGGCGGGGCAUAAAAAGCAGUUAAAGAGCUUCGAGAAACGGUUACUCGUUUUGUAAACUAAAGACCAAAUGAAAAUCCAGCUGCACUAGAAAAGAAAGAAACUUAUAAGGGCCGAAGGUUUUGUCUGCAAUUUACAGCUAAUUAGUCUCAAAGAUUUCUGUGAUUUGCCCAAGAGAGGUGGAGUUGGGGCCACUGCUUUACCCAGGACACCGCCGCGGCCCGCUUGAAUACUGCCGCCGUUAGGACCCGCCGUACCUGGCCGUCCAGGGCCUCUUUUCUUGUCUUCCACUCUCACUUGUCUUUUCUCCCCUUUCCAUGUUUUUGGUUCCUUUCCUGAGUUUCCCUUGUCUCCACUCCCCUGCCCCUUUGCUUCCUCUAUCUCUUUAACUUCUGUUUUCUUGAUGGUGGAGCCAACUUUAGUUUCCCUUAAAAGGCCAUAAAAGGAAAUAGAAUAAUUUUAAAAAUGUCUUUUCAUAAGGCUUGUUUUCUUGUCUUAAGCCUGUUUUUUGGUGGGGGGUGAAAAAGUUCAUAUGCAGAUAGACAUAAACUUCUUUUGGUAAAAGCUGCCCUCUAUUUUCUUCCAUAGCUGUCCUGUGAAAGUAGGAGUGUGUGUGAAUGGUGAAGCAAAGAGAGGGAGACAUGGGGUCAGGAGAAGAGGGAGCACAGCGUGUGUAAGGAGUUAAUUAGAACCAGAGGGCCUGGGUCUGUGGCUCAUGCCUGUAAUUCCAGCACUUUGGGAGGCUGAGGCGGAGGACCCUUUGCACCACUGCACUCCAGCCUGAGCAACAGAGUGAGACCCAGUCUCAGAACAAAAAAACAGAAACAGGAGAAAAACCAUCCAUAUAAGCAGAGAGGUACUUAAAAUGUUGCAAAACUAAAUUCCAAAUAACGUCUGUGGAUUCUACAAAAUCUAGGAAAUACACAUUUCCAAUAAAUCUUUGUACAUUCAUCUGUAAUGCAUUUCCUUAGGUGAUUUGAGUCCUUUAGGAGUAAAUCUGUAUCUUUAGCUGUCCCAGAAGUAAUCACAGGCGUUCAUUGUCUAUUCAAUGACAAAGUAUUGUGAACUAUUCUAUGAAAUAAUAAAAUAUCAGUGUUUUCAGAGUACAUGGCCUUUUCAGUAGCCUUUUCAGUGUGGUGGCACGUGUUCCCAGUUCUGCCAGUGGAUAUUGUUAUCUUUGAUCUACAACUGGGAAGCUAAAACCCAGAAAGUUACUUGUCUAAGACUAUACACCUCCAAGAAGGCAGAACUGUGGCUGCUAUUUCCAACUUUCUAGUCUCUGAACAUGUAAUAAAGAACUGAUUUCCAAUUUACAAUGAAUAAUAGAAUUUACAAUGAAUAAUAUAAUUUACUAUAAUAUAACAACCGACCAAAGUGUGCUGUUUUAUUACCAAUUUCUCUCUCUCUCUCUCUCUCUCUUUCUUUUGUGACAGAGUCUCGCUCUGUUGCCCAAGCUGGGGUGCAGUGGUGAGGUCUCGGCUGACUGCAACGUCCGCCUCCCAGGUUCAAGCGAUUCUAACUGCGUCAGACUCCCCAGUAGCUGUGACUACAGGCAGGCGCCACUACACCUGGCUAAUUUUUGUAUUUUUAGUAGAGAUGGGGGCUCACCAUGUUGGUCAGGCUGGUCCCAAAUUCCUUGCCUCAAGUGAUUUGCCCGCCUCGGCCUCCCAAAGUGUUGGGAUUACAGGUGUGAGCCACUGUGCCCACCCCAAUUUGCUUCUUUGGUGUUUGUAAUUCUGCUUGGUCAACCGUAACUUGCAGAAAUUGAUUGGAACAUAUAUUUUGAUAAAGUAUUUGAAGGUAUUCCUGAAGUUUGAUUUAUGUUUCAGCUGCCUAUACUGAAAGAAAAUAAACUGCUGUGUAUUCCAUAAUUUAAAAAUAAUUGUUCACUUUAGUGACAUUUUGUAGUUGGAUAGUGGAGACAAAAGAUGAUACUCUCUGUGAUCUUCAAUCUAAACAUUUAUGUUAGGACAAAUUAUUCCCAUAUCUGUAUAAUGCUAUAUUUCUUCCCUGACCUCUACAAAUCACAGAAGCACCGUUAUUCGAUCUUGUUCUCUUUUUCAAAAAAUUCUACCUUCCAAGGUGGUGGUUCUUUAAGUUUAUAAGUGAACCAUAAAGUAGUUGGAAACCUGGAUCCCAGGAUGGUAGAAACAUGAAGCUUGUUUAUUCCAAGGACAGUUUUAUAUAUGUAUAGGACUUUAUUAUCCUUACUAUAUACAGCAUUUUAAUGGGGAGGGGGAACCAGGAGCAUUGUUGGGGGUUAAUUUAAUUUUUGUAGUUUUAAAAUACAAACGAAUGAUUGU